rnacentral:rRNA from 1 species
GAAAAGUGAGCGGAUGAACUGAGGGUAGCGGAGAAAUUCCAAUCGAACCUGGAGAUAGCUGGUUCUCUCCGAAAUAGCUUUAGGGCUAGCCUCAAGUGAUGAUUAUUGGAGGUAGAGCACUGUUUGGACGAGGGGCCCCUCUCGGGUUACCGAAUUCAGACAAACUCCGAAUGCCAAUUAAUUUAACUUGGGAGUCAGAACAUGGGUGAUAAGGUCCGUGUUCGAAAGGGAAACAGCCCAGACCACCAGCUAAGGUCCCAAAAUAUAUGUUAAGUGGAAAAGGAUGUGGCGUUGCCCAGACAACUAGGAU